rnacentral:lncRNA from 1 species
AGUCUCUUUCUCUCCUUAUGUUCCUUCUUCUCCUUUUAUGAUUCCAUUUUAUUUCUAAGUUUUUCUGAAUUUGUCUCUUCAUGUCCUUUAUUUAUUUAUUUAUUUAUUUUAUUUCCCUUUUAUCUCUACCUUCACUAAAGGGAAUUUUCUAUUUCCUGUUUUUCAGCUUUAAAUUAUUUCCUAUAAAUAUCAUACUGUGUGCCAGACACGGUGGCUCACACCUGUAAUCCCAGCACUUUGGGAGGCCAAGAUGGGCAGGUCACUUGAGUUCAGGAGUUCAAGACCAGCUGGCCAACAUGGUGAUACCCUGUCUCUACUUGAAAAAAAUACAAAAAUUAGCUGGAUGUGAUGGCAGGCGCCUGUAGUCCCAGCUACUUGGGAGGCUGAGGCAGGAGGAUCUCUUGAACCCAGGAGGCAGAGGUUGCAGUGAGCUGAGAUUGUGCCACUGCACUCCAACCCCAGCAACAGACCCCAUGCAAUCAUUCGUCAUACCAUUAGAUCUACAAACAGGAAUGCCAGAGCUGAACGGACAGCUUCAGAAAUAAAUUGUAUGUGUUUGGUUUACAUUUUCCAUUGGUGGUUUUGGAGGGUUGUGCUGCGUGUUCUUGUAUGUUUUGUAGAAUAAUAAAAUUUCAGACUAAGGCUACAUACUUCAACAUAUCAGAAUACUUUUAAAAUAGGGGUUGCUUUUCUGGUUUCGAUGGAAUUCCCUUGGUUUGUAAUUUCUGAAUAAUUUUUAUUUUCCAGUUAUGGACAAAAUCAUGCCCAUUGCUGAAAAUCUGCAAGAAAAAA